UACGUAGGGUGCAAGCGUUGUCCGGAAUUAUUGGGCGUAAAGAGCUCGUAGGCGGUCUGUCGCGUCGGCUGUGAAAACCCGAGGCUCAACCUCGGGCCUGCAGUCGAUACGGGCAAACUAGAGUACUGCAGGGGAGACUGGAAUUCCUGGUGUAGCGGUGAAAUGCGCAGAUAUCAGGAGGAACACCGGUGGCGAAGGCGGCUUUCUGGUCUGCUCUUGACGCUGAGGCGCGAAAGCUAGGGUAGCAAACGGG
rnacentral:rRNA from 1 species